UACGUAGGGUCCGAGCGUUUGUCCGGAAUUAUUGGGCGUAAAGAGCUCGUAGGCGGUUUGUCGCGUCUGCUGUGAAAACUGGAGGCUCAACCUCCAGCCUGCAGUGGGUACGGGCAGACUAGAGUGCGGUAGGGGAGAUUGGAAUUCCUGGUGUAGCGGUGGAAUGCGCAGAUAUCAGGAGGAACACCGAUGGCGAAGGCAGAUCUCUGGGCCGUAACUGACGCUGAGGAGCGAAAGCAUGGGGAGCGAACAGG
rnacentral:rRNA from 1 species